AACGAACGCUGGCGGCAUGCCUAACACAUGCAAGUCGAACGAGACCUUCGGGUCUAGUGGCGCACGGGUGCGUAACGCGUGGGAACCUGCCCUUAGGUUCGGAAUAACUCCCCGAAAGGGGUGCUAAUACCGGAUAAUGUCUUCGGACCAAAGAUUUAUCGUCUUUGGAUGGGCCCGCGUUGUAUUAGCUAGUUGGUAGGGUAAAAGCCUACCAAGGCGACGAUCCAUAGCUGGGCUGAGAGGAUGAUCAGCCACACUGGGACUGAGACACGGCCCAGACUCCUACGGGAGGCAGCAGUGGGGAAUAUUGGAAAAUGGGCGAAAGCCUGAUCCAGCAAUGCCGCGUGAGUGAUGAAGGCCUUAGGGUUGUAAAGCUCUUUUACCCGGGAUGAUAAUGACAGUACCGGGAGAAUAAGCACCGGCUAACUCCGUG
rnacentral:rRNA from 1 species